rnacentral:rRNA from 1 species
KGCAUGGUCUAAGUAUAAAUAGAAUACAGUGAAACUGCGAAUGGCUCAUUAAAACAGUUAUAGUUUAUUUGAUAAUUGAAGUCUACAUGGAUAACCGUGGUAAUUCUAGAGCUAAUACAUGCAUUAAGACCCGACGUAAGAAGGGUUGUAUUUAUUAGAUAUUAAGCCAAUAUUCCGCAAGGUCUAUUGUGGUGAAUCAUAGUAACUGAUCGGAUCCCCAAUUGGGGAUAAAUCAUUCAAGUUUCUGCCCUAUCAGCUUUCGAUGGUAGUGUAUUGGACUACCAUGGCAGUAACGGGUAACGGAGAAUUAGGGUUCGAUUCCGGAGAGGGAGCCUGAGAAACGGCUACCACAUCUAAGGAAGGCAGCAGGCGCGUAAAUUACCCAAUGCAGACUCUGCGAGGUAGUGACAAUACAUAACAACCUGGGGUCUCACGACUUACGGGAUUGCAAUGAGAACAAUUUAAAAACCUUAACGAGGAACAAGUGGAGGGCAAGUCUGGU